CCCCGGGCUCAACUCGGCGAGCUCGGUCAAUACGGCGGAACUUGAGGNCAGCAGAGGGAGCGGAAUUCCCGGGGUAGCGGUGAAAUGCGUAGAGAUCGGGAGGAACACCAGUGGCGAAGGCGGCCUCCUGGGCUGCUCCUGACGCUGAAGGCGAAAGCUAGGGGAGCGAACGGGAUUAGAAACCCCGGUAGUCCUAGCCGUAAACGAUGGAUGCUGGGUGUGGGGGGUAUAGAUUCCCUCCGUGCCGAAGCUAACGCGUUAAGCAUCCCGCCUGGGGACUACGGCCGCAAGGCUAAAACUCAAACGAAUUGACGGGUCCCCGCACAAGCAGCGGAGCGUGUGGUUUAAUUCGAUGCUACACGAAGAACCUUACCUGGGUUUGACGUGCAAGUAGUAGUGAAGCGAAAGCGGAACGACCCUUCGGGGAGCUUGCACAGGUGCUGCAUGGCUGUCGUCAGCUCGUGCCGUGAGGUGUCGGGUUAAGUCCCGUAACGAGCGCAACCCUUGCCCUUAGUUAUACGUGUCUAAGGGGACUGCCCGGGACAACUGGGAGGAAGGUGGGGAUGACGUCAAGUCAGCAUGGCCUUUAUAUCCAGGGCGACACACACGCUACAAUGGCCGGUACAAUGGGUUGCCAAGCCGUGAGGCGGAGCCAAUCCCGCAAAGCCGGUCUAAGUUCGGAUUGUGGGCUGCAACUCGCCCACAUGAAGCUGGAGUUGCUAGUAACCGCGCGUCAGCCAUAGUGCGGUGAAUACGUUCCCAGGGGAUUGUACACACCGCCCGUCACGUCAUGGAAGCUGGCAACACCUAAAGCCGGUAUGCUAACCCGAAAGGGAAGCCGCCGUCUAAGGUGGGGCUGUAACUGGGACGAAGUC
rnacentral:rRNA from 1 species